GAUGAACGCUGGCGGCGUGCCUAAUACAUGCAAGUCGAGCGAACAGACGAGGAGCUUGCUCCUCUGACGUUAGCGGCGGACGGGUGAGUAACACGUGGAUAACCUACCUAUAAGACUGGGAUAACUUCGGGAAACCGGAGCUAAUACCGGAUAAUAUAUUGAACCGCAUGGUUCAAUAGUGAAAGACGGUUUUGCUGUCACUUAUAGAUGGAUCCGCGCCGCAUUAGCUAGUUGGUAAGGUAACGGCUUACCAAGGCGACGAUGCGUAGCCGACCUGAGAGGGUGAUCGGCCACACUGGAACUGAGAGACGGUCCAGACUCCUACGGGAGGCAGCAGUAGGGAAUCUUCCGCAAUGGGCGAAAGCCUGACGGAGCAACGCCGCGUGAGUGAUGAAGGUCUUCGGAUCGUAAAACUCUGUUAUUAGGGAAGAACAAAUGUGUAAGUAACUAUGCACGUCUUGACGGUACCUAAUCAGAAAGCCACGGCUAACUACGU
rnacentral:rRNA from 1 species